rnacentral:rRNA from 1 species
CGGUGGAGCAUGUGGUUUAAUUCGAUGAUACGCGAGGAACCUUACCUGGGCUCAAAUGUAUGUUGACGUAUUCUGAAAGGGAUACUUCUUUCGGACAAUAUACAAGGUGCUGCAUGGUUGUCGUCAGCUCGUGCCGUGAGGUGUCGGGUUAAGUCCCAUAACGAGCGCAACCCUAUCAUUAGUUGCCAUCAGGUCAAGCUGGGGACUCUAAUGAAACUGCCUACGCAAGUAGUGAGGAAGGUGGGGAUGACGUCAAAUCAGCACGGCCCUUACGUCCAGGGCUACACACGUGCUACAAUGGCCGGUACAAAGGGCAGCUACCUGGUGACAGGAUGCUAAUCUCAAAAGCCGGUCUCAGUUCGGAUCGGAGUCUGCAACCCGACUCCGUGAAGCUGGAACCGCUAGUAAUCGCGCAUCAGCCAUGGCGCGGUGAAUACGUUCCCGGGCCUU